UCAAAACACGGCUGGGGAAAUUGGGGGACACCCGAACCCGUCCCGGGAUCCCAACCGGCCCCCGACACCCCCGGCGACUCUCGGGGGCUCCCACCAGGUGCGAACUCCUCCGAGCACCCGAUUUUCGGCUUUCCAGAAUUUCCUCCAUCCCUUGCCUGAGACGGGAGAUGCUUUGCCCAAGAAGCGCAAGGAGCUGAGCCAGAGCCAACGCCCCAUCCAGGGAGGGCUGGGAGCCCCAGAUAAGAGAGAUUUCUCCCCAAAAAAACCCACUCCUGGCCUCCGGAAAUUUGGGUUCUGGCAUAAAGAUCGCCGCCUUUAACAAGGCCAGGCAGAUUUAUUUACCAGGUGUUUACAUCUACAAGAACCCCUUUAAGUUUAUAUAAGAUUUUCCAGAAGCCUCUUUUGUUGAAAGAGAAGAGAAAAGGAGCAGAAAAGCGGUCUCUAAGUCAGUUGUAACUAAACAAACACAAAUAAAUGCCGUUGCUUUCAAGCGAAAGAAA